rnacentral:rRNA from 1 species
UUAUAGUGGUAUCUGAGUAGUGCGGGGCACGUGAAACCUGUAUGAAUCAAGCGGGACCAUCCGCUAAGGCUAAAUACUCUGAGAGACCGAUAGUGAACCAGUACCGUGAGGGAAAGGUGAAAAGAACCUGAAUAAGGGAGUGAAAUAGAUCCUGAAACCAUACGCUUACAAGCGGUCGGAGCCCGUAAGGGGUGACGGCGUGCCUUUUGCAUAAUGAGCCUACGAGUUACUUUUACUAGCAAGGUUAAGCACUUAAGGUGCGGAUCCGUAGCGAAAGCGAGUCUGAAUAGGGCGAGAUUCAUUCCUUGGGAAUGAAAGCGUAUUUAUACGUUUAGUUAGUAGUAGUAGACGCGAAACCGUGUGAUCUACCCAUGGGCAGGUUGAAGCUUUGUUAACCCAAAGUGGAGGACCGAACCCGUUGACGUUGAAAAGUCUUGGGAUGACCUGUGGGUAGGGGUGAAAGGCCAAUCAAACUCGGAAAUAGCUCGUACUCCCCGAAAUGCAUUUAGGUGCAGCGUUUAACUAGUUUUAUAGAGGUAGAGCUACUGAUUGGAUGCGGGGGCUUCACCGCCUACCAAUUCCUGACAAACUCCGAAUGCUAUAAAAUGUUGUUGAGCAGUGAGGGCAUGGGUGCUAAGGUCCAUGUCCGAGAGGGAAAGAACCCAGAUCAUCAGCUAAGGUCCCCAAGUAUAUACUAAGUUGACAAAACGCGGUAAAACUGCAUUGACAGCCAGGAUGUUGGCUUGGAAGCAGCCAUUCAUUUAAAGAGUGCGUAACAGCUCACUGGUCGAGCGGUUUUGCAUGGAUAAUAAUCGGGCAUAAGUAUAUCACCGAAGCUAUGACUUUGUCUUUGACAAGGGGUAGGGGAGCAUUCUAUGGGCAUUGAAGGUGUUGUCGUAAGGCAUGCUGGAGCGCAUAGAAACGAAAAUGUAGGCAUAAGUAACGAUAAUGCGGGCGAGAAACCCGCACGCCGAAAGACCAAGGUUUCCCCAGCUAUGCUAAUCAGCUGGGGGUCAGUCGGGACCUAACGCGAACCCGAAGGGGGUAGUGGAUGGACAAUCAGUUAAUAUUCUGAUACCUGCUCACAUUAAAAGUGACGGGGAUGUGGCGUUGGUGCGAAGAGACGGAAUUCUUCGUUGAAGGUAGUGGAAGCUACUGAUAGUACACUGAGGUUUCGGCCAAGGUGAUAAUCCAGCUUAACAUCCUCCAAGAAAAACAAGUGAAGCAGCCCGUACCGUAAACCGACACAGGUGGUUGGGAUGAGUAUUCUAAGGCGCUCGAGAGAUUCAUGGCUAAGGAACUAGGCAAAAUAGACCCGUAACUUCGGGAGAAGGGUCGCCCCCUGUAUGGGGGGCCGCAGUGAAGAGGUCCAGGCGACUGUUUAUCAAAAACACAGGGCUCUGCAAAAUCGAAAGAUGAAGUAUAGGGCCUGACACCUGCCCGGUGCUGGAAGGUUAAGAGGAGAUGUUAUCCGCAAGGAGAAGCAUUGAAUUGAAGCCCCAGUAAACGGCGGCCGUAACUAUAACGGUCCUAAGGUAGCGAAAUUCCUUGUCGGGUAAGUUCCGACCUGCACGAAUGGUGCAACGAUCUGGACACUGUCUCGGCCAUGAGCUCGGUGAAAUUGUAGUAACGGUGAAGAUGCCGUUUACCCGCAGUGGGACGAAAAGACCCCGUGCACCUUUACUAUAGCUUCGUAUUGGUCUUGGAUAAGUAAUGUGUAGGAUAGCUAGGAGACUUUGAAGCGGCGUCGCCAGGUGUUGUGGAGUCAUUGUUGAAAUACUAGCCUUUGCUUGUUUGGGGCCUAACUCUCGAGAGAGAGAACAGUGCGUGGUGGGUAGUUUGACUGGGGUGGUCGCCUCCAAAAGAGUAACGGAGGCUUCUAAAGGUGCCCUCAAUACGGUUGGUAAUCGUGUGUAGAGUGCAAUGGCACAAGGGCGCUUGACUGAGAGACCU